rnacentral:rRNA from 1 species
UGCCAGCCGCCGCGGUAAUACGGAGGGUGCAAGCGUUAAUCGGAAUUACUGGGCGUAAAGCGCGCGUAGGUGGUCAAGUCAGUCAGAUGUGAAAGCCCUGGGCUCAACCUGGGAACUGCAUCUGAUACUGCUUGACUAGAGUAUGGUAGAGGGGUGUGGAAUUUCCUGUGUAGCGGUGAAAUGCGUAGAUAUCUGGAGGAACAUCAGUGGCAAAGGCGGCUCCCUGGCCAAAGACUGACGCUCAUGUGCGAAAGUGUGGGUAGCGAACAGGAUUAGAUA